AGUGAACGCUGGCGGCAGGCCUAAUACAUGCAAGUCGAACGGCAGCACAGUGGAGCUUGCUCCCUGGGUGGCGAGUGGCGGACGGGUGCGGAAUACAUGGGCAACUGCCCAGUCGUGGGGGAUAACGUAGGGGAACUACCGCCAAUACCGCCUGCGCCCUUCGAGGGAACGUCGGGGACCUUCGGGCCUGGCGCGAUUGGAUAAGCCCAUGUUGGAUUUGAUCGUUGGGGGGGUGAAGGCCCACCAAGGCGACGAUCGGUGGCUGGUCGGAGAGGAGGAUCAGCUACACGGGAAUGGAGACACGGCCCAGACCACAAUGGGAGGCAGCGGAGGGGAAUAGUGGACAAGGGGCGGAAGCCUGACCCAGACAUGCCGCGUGAGGGAAGAAGGCACUCGGGUUGUAAAGCUCUUUUGUCCGGGAAGAAAAGCAUCGGGCGAAUACCGCGGUGUUCUGACGGUACCGGAAGAAUAAGCACCGGCUAACUUCGUG
rnacentral:rRNA from 1 species